UACGUAGGGUGCGAGCGUUAAUCGGAAUUACUGGGCGUAAAGCGUGCGCAGGCGGUCUGUUAAGACCGAUGUGAAAUCCCCGGGCUUAACCUGGGAACUGCAUUGGUGACUGGCAGGCUUUGAGUGUGGCAGAGGGAGGUAGAAUUCCACGUGUAGCAGUGAAAUGCGUAGAUGUGGAGGAAUACCGAUGGCGAAGGCAGCCUCCUGGGCCAACACUGACGCUCAUGCACGAAAGCGUGGGGAGCAAACGGG
rnacentral:rRNA from 1 species